GUUGCCAGCGAGUAAUGUCGGGAACUCAAAGGAGACUGCCGGUGAUAAACCGGAGGAGGGUGGGGAUGACGUCAAGUCAUCAUGGCCCUUACGAGUAGGGCUACACACGUGCUACAAUGGCAUAUACAAAGAGAAGCGAACUCGCGAGAGCAAGCGGACCUCAUAAAGUAUGUCGUAGUCCGGAUUGGAGUCUGCAACUCGACUCCAUGAAGUCGGAAUCGCUAGUAAUCGUAGAUCAGAAUGCUACGGUGAAUACGUUCCCGGGCCUU
rnacentral:rRNA from 1 species